CCGUUUUUGUGGCCUUUUUCCGCUGGACGAACUUGGCGCCCCUGCCUUCGGCCGGUUAUUUUUGGUCGCGGCUGUGCCCGCAGCCAAAUUUUGGCACACGGAGGCGCCUCGAAAAGUCUCGCGCCAUUCCGAGUCCGGCGGACGAAGUUGGCCAGGCCCACCCCCCAAGGCUAUAGGCCACCCGUUUUUGUGGCCUUUUUCCGCUGGACGAACUUGUCGCCCCGGCCUUCGGGCGGUUAUUUUUGGGCGCGGCUUUGCCCGCGGCCUAUUUUUGGCAUACGAAGGCCCCUCGCAAAGUCUCGCUCCGUUCCGAGUCCGCCGGACGAAGUUGGCCAGCCCCACCCCCCAAGGCUAUAGCUCACCCGUUUUUGUGGCCUUUUUCCGCUGGACGAACUCGGCGUCCCGGCCUUCGGGCGGUUAUUUUUGGGCGCGGCUGUGCCCGCGGCCUAUUUUUGACACACGGAGGCGCCUCGCAAAGGCCGGGCCAUUCCCAGUCCGGCGGACGAAGUUCGCCAGCCCCACCCCCCAAGGCUAUAGCCCACCCGUUUUUGUGGGCUUUUUCCGUUGGACGAACGUGACGCCCCGGCCUUCGGGCGGUUAUUUUUGGGCGCGGCUGUGCCCGCGGCCUAUUUUUCGCACACGGAGGCGCCUCGUAAAGGCCGUGCCAUUCCGACUCCGGCGGACGAAGUGGGCUAGCCCCACCCCCCAAGGCUAUAGCCCACCCGUUUUUACUGGCUUUUUCCGCUGGACGAACGUGGCGCCCCGACCUUCGGGCGGUUAUUUUUGGGCGCGGCUGUGGCCGCUGCCUAUUUUUGGUACACGGAGGCGCCUCGCAAAGUCUCGCCCCAUUCCGAGUCCGGCGGACGAAGUUGGCCAGCCCCACCACCCAAGGAUAUAGCCCACCCGUUUUUGUGGCCUUUUUCCGUUGGACGAACUUGGCGCCCCGGCCUUCGGGCAGUUAUUUUUGGACGCGGCUGUGUCCGCGGCCUAUUUUUGGCACAUGGAGGCACCUCACAAAGUCUCGCGCCAUUCCUAGUCCGGCGGAUGAAGUUGGCCAGCCCCACCCCCCAAGGCUAUAGCCCACCCGUUUUUGUGGCCUUUUUGCGCUGGACGAACUUGGCGCCCCGGCCUUCGGGUGGUUAUUUUUGGGCGCGGCUGUGCCCGCGGCCUAUUUUUGGCACACGAAGGUGCCUCGCAAAGUCUCGUGCCAUUCCGAGUCCGGUGGACGAAGUGGGCCAGCUCCACCCCCCAAGGCUAUAGCCCACCCGUUUUUGUGGCCUUUUUCCGCUGGACGAACUUGGCGCCCUGGCCUUCGGGCGGUUAUUUUUGGCACACGGAGGCACCUCACAAAGUCUCGCACCAUUCCGAGUCCGGCGGACGAAGUUGGCCAGCCCCACCCCCCAAGGCUAUAGCCCACCCGUUUUUGUGGCCUUUUUCCGCUGUACGAACUUGGCGCCCCGGCCUUCGGGC
rnacentral:lncRNA from 1 species